rnacentral:rRNA from 1 species
UACGAAGGGGGCUAGCGUUGCUCGGAAUCACUGGGCGUAAAGCGCACGUAGGCGGGUCCUUAAGUCGGGGGUGAAAUCCUGGAGCUCAACUCCAGAACUGCCUUCGAUACUGAAGAGCUUGAGUCCGGGAGAGGUGAGUGGAACUGCGAGUGUAGAGGUGAAAUUCGUAGAUAUUCGCAAGAACACCAGUGGCGAAGGCGGCUCACUGGCCCGGUACUGACGCUGAGGUGCGAAAGCGUGGGGAGCAAACAGG